AUUGAACGCUGGCGGCAGGCCUAACACAUGCAAGUCGAACGGAGCGGCGAACGGGUGAGUAAUGCCUAGGAAUCUGCCCAGUAGUGGGGGAUAACGUCCGGAAACGGGAGCUAAUACCGCAUACUAUCAGAUGGGCCUAGUGCGGAUUAGCUAGUUGGUGGGGUAACGGCCUACCAAGGCGACGAUCCGUAACUGGUCUGAGAGGCUGAUCAGUCACAACGGAACUGAGACACGGGCCAGACUCCUACGGUAGGCAGCAGUGGUGAAUAUUGGACAAUGGGGGAAAGACUGAUCCAGCCAUGCCGCGUGUGUGAAGAAGGGCUUCGGAUUGUAAAGCACUUUAAGUUGGGAGGCGUUACCAGCAGAAUAAGCACCGGCUAACUUCGUGCCAGCAGCCGCGGUAAUUC
rnacentral:rRNA from 1 species